rnacentral:lncRNA from 1 species
GAAUUUAAUUUAAUUUAAUUUAUGUAAACAAAAAAAUAAAUAAGAAGUAGAAAUUAAAGUAGAGAAACGUAUCUGGUAUUUUACUUAAUAUUUAAGAGUAGUUUGAUUUUUUUUUUUUUUUGAAAUUGCAUGUUAUUCAAAGAUUUUUUUUUUUUUUGAAAGCAUAUGUUAUCAGACUUGAAUUCGCUUAGAAUUAUUAGAAAAUAACACAUAUUAACAUUAUUAUUAUUAAUUCUAUAAAUGACUUUGAUAGAUCAUUUCAAACUAGUGGUUUCUCACAACAUGAAAAAUAUAGAUAUACACAGUUUGACAGAUUUUAGAUGUUUUUCAUGUUUAGAAAUGAA